CCUACGGGUGGCAGCAGUGAGGAAUAUUGGUCAAUGGGCGGAAGCCUGAACCAGCCAAGUAGCGUGCAGGAUGACGGCCCUACGGGUUGUAAACUGCUUUUAUACGGGAAUAACGCGCCUUACGUGUAGGGCUUUGCAUGUACCGUAUGAAUCAGGACCGGCUAAUUCCGUGCCAGCCGCCGCGGUAAUACGGAAGGUCCGGGCGUUAUCCGGAUUUAUUGGGUUUAAGGGGAGCGUCGGCCGCAUGUCAAGCCUGCUGUGAAAUGUUCGGGCUAAACCCGGGCAUUGCAGUGGGAACUGGCGGUGUUGAGUCCGCGGAAGGCAGGCGGAAUUCGUCGGGUAGCGGUGAAAUGCGUAGAUAUGACGAAGAACCCCGAUUGCGAAGGCAGCUUGCUGCAGCGGAACUGACGCUGAUGCUCGAAAGCGCGGGUAUCGAACAGGAUUAGAUACCCGUGUAGUC
rnacentral:rRNA from 1 species